UUUCUGGUCUCGGGUCAUACUGUCUUCGGAUACCUCGGGAUGCAUUUUAGUCCCUAUGCGCCACGUGCGGGCCGGCCUUCACCUGCAAGUCUGCUCACCCUGAACGACCCUCAUUUUCUGUGCACCGGAAGUGCUUGGCCUUCUUGGCGGCUGCUCCCCGGCAGUGGUUUCCCUCCCCCCUCAGCCUCGGGGCGGUUCAGCUGUCCGUGUAAGGGCGGGGUCUAGGGGCUAGGUUGGGAUUGGAUGCCCCGCAGCUUUUGGAAGACUCCCUCAGAUAUUUCCUUAAGCAUUGUUGGAAAGGUCGCACUAUGGCUUUGGGCAGCGUUCACAUCCGUAGCCCUCCUUAAGCUGUGUGGCCUUGGGUGGGUCGUAUGACCUCUCUGAGCUUCCCAGGUGACUUCUCUGCAAAAUGGGAUGGUAAAAUCCGAGUUGGUGCUAAAUCGUAACGUUCAUGCUGCAUAGCAGGGCUUCAGCAGACCAGCCUGUGUCGUCUGGUAGCACCACUGGCUCUGGGUAGAUCUGAGAAGCACCUUUCUAAGGCGACCCACUUGGCUUGCAUUCGCGCGCGGAUUCAAAGGACUGACAAUUCCUUCUCUCCCUCAACAGUGUCUUCCCUAUCUAAUCCUAACAAGCAAGCCUUAAGGAAUUGCAGAGUUUCUGGUUGAAGGUUCUCCAGGCCCCCUUGUUAAAGGACAGAUUUACGCUGACUGAAGUACAGAAGAGAAUCCGAAAAACACGUGUCUCUACCUUAAGCAGGAGUGGGAGUGGGUGGGAGCUCCCCAGAUGGCCUUUACCUUGGCCUUUUUUCUUUCUCCCUCAUUUGGGAUGCUAGUGACCUGGGCUCUGGCCCACAACACUUUCUGUAAGCAAGAACGCUGGAUGUCAUGACUAAGGAAGAGAUCUCUUGUUUAUUCUUGAGCUCUUCCGCGAGGUGAGAGACUCAUUUGAACAAGAGAGGCGGCUGCCAAAGCACACUGAGCGUGCCUCGGAUACUCAGGGAGAGUGAAAACCAACUCUAGGCACCUGAAGAAAGAGAAGGCUUUGAUUUCCAUGUGAUGAGAGGCACAGGCGAAUGCAGGAGCUUCAGGGAUGCCCUAAGUGACUUGACCAGUCUGAAUUGGACGUUUUUGUGUCAUGCUCAUCAAACACCCUCACCUUCUAAAAGGCUUUGCGCGGUGGCAGCUCGCUUUUGAGAGUGGGUUUCUUCUGGUGCCGGAGGAAAUGCACCUCCAGAAAGUCAUUUCACGCUCGGGGAUUUGUGCUGUUGUGAUUAAUUUACGUGCUGGGCAGAACAGUCAAGAAAGAUGUAAAGAUGGACACUCCUAGGAAAACUGAAGUGUAUUCUCGCACCAGCAGGGUUCUCCUCCUGCCCCACUGUCUGGAAGAUUUCACAUUCCGGGCACCUCAUCUUCCUCACCCAACAACGGUGUUUUGUGUCUUGAUCCCAGUUGAAGAGCCUGGCACACGAACAGCCUAGCCUAUUCAUUCCUGGAGCAAUUUUGCAUAUGCAAGACGGAAGCCAAGACUGAUGUCUUCAUCCCAGACGUGCUCGUUCACACACAUUCCGGGUGAACGAGUCAUGCUCAGGGGUCAGAGCAGGAAGUGGCUACUGCUGGAUGAAAGAUUCUGCUGGAAGAGAUGAAAGGUGCUUCGUGCCUCUGGGGGUGGAGAAAGAGAAAAGAGGCCAGUCUUUUCUGCAGCUGUCGCGGUGAAAAGUUCCAGGUAUGCAGCUCCUUUUGAUGUGACGAAACACUGUUUUGUAAAUUUACGUAAUUCAGGGAGGCAUUCGGAUUGGCCCUUUUCCUGCUCCUCUGUUUCGCAUUUUGAGACUCAAGCUUUUGCAACAAGGUAAACUGCCUCCAGAAUAACAUGAAGUGGCUGACAAGGCUCAGUGUGAAAUGUUUGUCUGCAUAUCACCGUUCCAUCUCCUCCAGUGGGAGGAGAAUGUUCCUGUGGUCCAUGAUGCUGUAGACACCUGAGAUUAAACAUGCGGAGACCUAAUAUUCAAAUCAAAUUUAGAUUUGAAAUCAAAAAGUCAAGGGAGAACAAAGUCCAAUCACUUGUUUGUGUCCAGAAGUGGAAGGUCUUGAUGGAUUCCGUAAUUUUCCUUCAAUUCAUCUCUCCCAAGCAAACAACGUUGUUAUUUCUUUCAAUUUAUUCAUUUAACAUCCACUGUUGAGAACCUAGUGUUCUCUGUGGCACACAAACUCCCGUUCGUUGAAUUUAGUUAGACUGCAGUGACCCUAAUGGUGACUAUUUGGUGAGUGCUUGUCAAAUGCUGAGUGGUGCUUUGAAGAUGUCCACGAAUGAUCUCAUUAAACUUCCUUGUAUAAAUAUGGGAUGGGUGCUCUAAUAACUGUUGUACAAACAAUGCCAGUCAGUUGCUCCAAGUCACUGAUUUGAAUCAAAAUAGUUGAACCUUGUGAACUCAGAGCUGUAAACUUGAUAUCGUAGUCAAGAGAAUUAGGUGCCUGGGUCAUAGACCUUGGUGUAUCAGGGAGCAGUGAAGACCAAGGGAAGCAAAGAGCUUCUGUGCUUUUGUUCCACCAGGUUGUCUUUGGAUCAGAGAGUUGAUUCUGAGGAGACUGAAGUCAUUAUGGGAAAUUGUAUCAGUUAGCUGUGGCUGUGUAACAAAUUACCACACACUGAACGGCUUCAAACAUGGUCCCGGUUUCUAUGGGUCAGGAGUCUGGGUGCGACUUGGCUGGGUCCUCUGCUUGGGUCUCACAUGGUCAAGGUAUCCGGUGGGGUGUGUUGUCCUCUGGAAGCGUGACGAGGGAAGGAUCCACUUCUAAGCUCCCUCAGUUUGUGUGUGUGGGGGGGAAUCUCAUUCCUUGUGGUUGUGGAGUUCAUGGCAGAACUAAAAGGGAAUACAGAAGCUUCAAGGUAACCUUGUGGUUGUGACUUCAGGAAGAAGCUACCACUCUUUCAGUGAGCAAAUGAAGGGGAAAAGUUGGAUAGAAGUUAAAAGCGCAGUUUGGGGGUGAAAAUAUGAACACAUAAUGGGAUGUAUAUCAAUAUGAUUUACAUAAACAUGAAACCCACAUAAAACGCUACACACUUCAUAAAAACAGGUGAGCAAAUAACUCCUGUGAAACAUAUUACAUAGUUCCCAACAUUGGGGUGAGGAAUAGUGAUGAAAAGGAACACGUGAUAAAGAGCAGAGGAUCUUUACCUGGACCAGUGGUGAUGAUGCCCCGUGAUCUGACCAGUGUGGAAUAUAAUUCACCCAUCCUUCCCCACCAGAGACUCAAAAGGGGAGAAGGGGCUGUGUUUUAAAGUAUUAGUUAACAUAUUUUCCCAAAAAGGUCAUUAAAAUAAAAGUAAAGAGACAAAAAUCUUCCCCUGUUGAUAGACUUAAACAGUUAAAAUAGACUUGUUUUGGUGAUGCAAAUCGUUGUUCUAUGGAAUAUUGCCGACCGUGACCCAAAUCACUGUUCUAUGGAAUAUUGCCGACCGUAUGUACUCCCCUCCCCAGCCAGACAGCCAAGUGCUUCUCAGGGCUGGAUAGUUACUUUGUACAUGAUUAACUGUGCUCUUUCUUCCAUGCUGAUGCUAUCACGAUUCCUUUGCUGUUAGUCUGGGCCGGAAAGGGCACAGAGAAGCAAUUUUCCUUAUAAAACUGAGAGUUACAAAAAACGAAUGUGUGUUGGCAAGUGUUGAGAGGAACUUCUCAUCAGAAAUUCCGGGCUUGGAAACCAAGUUCUGUGUCCAGGCUUUAUCAUCCUUACACGUUAACGUCAUUGCAACUACAUUUGUUGAUGCAUUUGUUCUGUGUAAUGAGGCUCCUCUCCGUCUACUGUAUGGGGGAAAACAAUUGAAGCAAAAGCGAACUUUGUCAGAAUCCCAGUUUGGUGAUACGUACAUUCUUCAAGCAGACAGUCAGGCUUCUCGUUUUCAGCCAGCCCUGACUUCCUAGGCUUUCUGUUCUGGAACGUUGAGUCGAGCAUCUUCAUGAGCCUGUGACCUCAUCACCAGAAAAGAUUUGGUAAAGGGAGUGAAGAAUUCUUGGCUGUGUUUUUCUUUCCUAACAGAAGCUCAGAAGCGAUGAGUCUAUUUGAACUGCUCUAAAUCCUUUCUGUGUGGAACUCUCAGGAAAUGCUGUAGCCGUGUCUCAUCAUUAAUGAUGUUUUGGAAACCCAGCUCCGUCUGAACUCCUGGGUCUUCAAAAAUGAUCGCUUUACCACAGUGACUCCUGUACUAAGUCUAGAUGUAAAUGAAACAGGACUUCCCCAGUUUAGUGUCUGGAGACUAACUGGGGACCUGCAGGAGCCCCAUUAAAUCUUCCAAACAAGUUGUUUAUUGAGCUGAGUGUUUUGAUCUGAGGUUGAAGGGCAAGUGUGGCUGGAGAGUGCUAGAUUUAAUCAACAGAAGUAACUUGAGGGUAAAGAUACUUUCAUUGCCAGUAAGACAGACUCUUCUUUUGGUAUUUCAGGUCAGACACGAGUUCAAGGUGAGAGAAAAAUGUCAACAUCCCUUUAUUUAUUUUCCUCUGAGAAAAUAGAAAAUAGAGUGUUCUUGGCACACUCAACAGAAACUAAGAUGAAAGAUGAAAGGUCCUCUCUCCAGAUAAUAGAGUCUUUCUUUUUUUUUAAUUUUGAUGUUUUUGUUCAUUAUAGAUUUUUUUUUUUUUUUUUUGCAUCUAUUUUUAUUUACUUGGCCAUGCCACACGGCAUGC